AUGCGAGCAAAGCCACAUCCUGCUCCAAUAGUCAAGGGCGAUAGUUUUGGGAAAUUCCAAUGUCCCAAGAACCAGUAUGAGAUCGAUCAAAUGAAAGCAGUACCAUCGGCAGUUGGCAGCUUACAGUAUGCACAAGUGUGCACUCGCCCUGACUUAGCUUUUAUCACCGGGGUACUCGGUAGAUAUCAAGAGAAUCCAGGCCUAGAGCACUGGAAGAUGGUAAAGAAAGCAUUGCAUUAUGCGCAAGGCACGAAGGACUACAUGCUAAUAUACAGGAGAAGUGAUUCCCUAGAGAUAAAAGGGUAUUCAGACGCAGAUUUUGCGGGGGGCAGAGAUGAUAGAAAAUCCACGUCAGGAUACGUCUUCACUCUCGCUGGGGAGCUAUUUCGUGGAAAAGCUCCAAGCAGUCGAUAG
rnacentral:rRNA from 1 species